AUUUUAUUUUUGAAAAGGAUUUUCGGAUUUUUUAUUUUUGGGGUCCACAUGGUUUUGGACGUUACUUGGAGAAGAAGAUUCUAGAGGGAUAUAUAUAUUGGGGUUCUUAGACAGAAUUUGGGGCUUUGGAGAGAAUUUUCGGAAAAAACAGAGAGAGAUUGGGAUGGAGUCUUCGGGGAAAGAAAACUAGGGUUCGUGGGUUUUGGCUUUCUUCUCAGAUUUUUCUGUUAAUUAGCAUUCCAGAAAAUUAAAAAUACAAAAAUAGUUCAAUUUUCAUUUUUGUUCGAGUCCUUGUUUCAUUUCGAAAAAUCAAAAAAUUCCCCAAAAUUCUUUUUGUUUCUUUUGUUGGUUUUGGUUUUCAACUAUGGAUUUUGAUUGAGGUUUACCGUGGAGUCGAGGUCGUUCGAGCUGCUCGAUGCUUAUAAAUCGAGGUUCGUUUGUGGUUUCGUUCGUGCCGAGAAAUUCAGUCUAAUUUCAGUUCGAGUUAUAGUUGCAGCUUCUGCUUAAAUUUGUUGACGUACUCCAUUGUAUUAGACCUCAAGAAUUAAUUAAAACUUGUAGCAUUCAGGUUUGUCUCUCAUCUUCUUCUGUUCUUUUACUGUUAUUAAUGUUGAAUAAAGCUUUGGGAAAGCCAUUUUAAGAUACGGUUUGAAUUAUAUGAGCUGUAAAUGAGUGUUGAUUUCUUGCUUUAAGAUAUUUAGACACUAUUGUUAAUAUUAAAAUUUGUUUUGAUUUCAUUAGGAUCAUGCUUGGGUAUUCUGCAUAUUGUUGAGUUUUUUCCAUGUUUUGACCCCAACGUGUGUAUCGAUCCUCAGAAGAUUGUUGAUAUGGAUCCGUAGUGAUUGUGGCUGUUUGUUUUAUUUAAUCGCUUUCUAGUGGAUCGUUCAGCUUAUGAAUGAGUUAAAUAUGUGUUUCAUGUCCAUAUUUCCAACACUUUCAAAUAUGAUUUUUAAUUGGGUUUUUGAACUACUUCGUUACGGGUAAACUCAAUUUGUAUGUUAUUUAGUCCAUGGUUUUUGUUUGGUCUAUGCUUAUCUGUUUCUUCAGUAAAUUAUGUGAUUCAUGAGGGGUUAUUCACUUUUAUCCCUCUAUGAGUCAUUAAUAUAGUUACUAAUGAGAUUAUAUAUCACUAUUUCAAAUUGUGAUAGUUGGGUAAAUUGAGUGUCAAAACAAAUUCUCAACACAUGCUUUUUUCCUAAUUUUAAUGCUUUUUUUUUAAAACUUAGCUUGUGAUGAACUCUGCUUCUAAACUCAUAUCUUCUUUCCUACUCAUUUGAAUGGUCAUGGAAGUCAUUUUUUUUAUUUUAUUUUGGUUGUGCUAAUUUAACAAUGAACUGAUAAACUCUUGGUAGCAAUGUUUCUUUUAGAUUUUCAGAACAUUAGUAGUUAGUCAAAUAGUUUGAAAACUCUUUGUCUUUGCCUUCUUACUGUU
rnacentral:lncRNA from 1 species